rfam:Streptomyces sp. TSRI0281 scaffold30, whole genome shotgun sequence.
GAGAGCCGGAUGAUGGGAAACCAUCACGUCCGGUUCGGCGGGAGGCCGUGCGGAAAAGGGUCUGCCCAGC